rnacentral:lncRNA from 1 species
GCCUCCCGAGUAGCUGGGACUAGAGACGCCCGCCACCAUGCCUGGCUAAAUUUUUGUAUUUUUAGUAGAGACGGGGUUUCACCGUGCUGUCCUUAUACUCUUGCCAUACUUCGUGGAUUGGCUCUCUCUGCAGGGGAGCUCCCCUUGUGAUUUCUGCUGCAGGUCCAUUGCUCAUGUGAAAACCUGAGAAAUUCCAGGAAAAGAAGAGACGUGCCUUUCUCCAGUGUUGUUUUUAUGGGAGAUGGGGGCAGGCAAGCCAUCUUUCCAAGAAGCCUCCAGCAUUCUUCUCUAUUUCUUUAAUGAGCAGAAUUUCUCAUGUGCUCAUUAUUAAACUGAGCACUGAGGAGCAAGAAGAGAUGGUCACGGCUGCUUAAUGAAGCACGUGAUCGUGGGAAGACGUUGGGAUGCUGAGUAACAAGGAUGCUCUGUUCUCAAGGAAAUGCUUGCUGAAGACUGCAUACAUUGAAAAGGCCAGAGGGUGGCACCGUGGUGAACCAAGCCUGGUGACGCCCUCAAGUCCCAGUGCUGCAAGUUGCUGCUGAUUCACUUCUCCAAUGAGUCCACAUUUUAGUAUUCGAUGGUCUAGGAAUUAUCAUGCACAUGUAACUUGGUCUAAACUAGAACAGAUUCUUUACUACCAGGAUUUACAUUUCUGAUGUUUUAGUUAUUCUGGUUUAUAAGAGUCUUCAGAGAAUUCCUGGUUUUGUUACCAUUUAGCCUGUUUCCAUCCUUGUCAAAAUAUUUGUCUUGACUAUUAAGACAGAAUAAGGAAGUUAUCUGUGUGAUGUAGCUGAAAGGGUUAAAUUUCUUGGUCACUUAAUCAGAGAAUCCAAAAUGUUUGUUCUUCAUUUUUGGAAGGCAAGGAGCUUCACUUAGCCUGAAAAUAUUCAUCAGUAAACAAAUAGAAUUAAUAAUAUUAAUGCCAGGUAUGAAAAGGAGGGCUUUUCCCAUAAGGGAAAGGAUAUACUCGGCUAGUGAUAGCGGAAACCCGGCAGUAGUGUACAAUCCAGUCCCAGGCAUAUGGCUCAAGUCUGCUGCCAAAUCACACAACUUGAAGCUAUCAGGUGGCACUGCCUUUGUUAGUGGAUAGUGCCAUCUUCAUACACCAUGGGCAGUGACACUUCUAUUCCCCUGUCCCGUCUCUCAGAGCUUGUUCAUCCUCAGGCCUUUUAUACCAAUAUGUGUAUUGAUGAUCCUUUUAAAUAAUACUAGGAUGUACAGGUUGAGAGCAAGAUAGCGUGAGUUAACAUUUUCAUAGAAACAGAACUGAGACAUAAAAAGCAUUAGCAGACUAUAUGUUUUAGCUCAUUCUAGUUGUUAUAACAAAAUACCAUAGACUGGGUGGCUUAUAAACAAGAGAAAUUUAUUCUCACAGUCCACAGUCUGACAAGUGCAAGAUGAAGGCACUGGAAGAUUCAUUAUCAAGUGAAGGCUCGCUUCUUGGUUCAUAGAAGGCAUCUCCUUGCUCCAUCCUCAUAUGAUGGAAGAGGCAAACAACCUCCCUUGAGCCUCAUUUAAUAAGGACACUAAUACCAUGCGUGAGGGCUCCACCUUCAUUACAUAAUCAUCUCUCAAAAACCCACCUCUUAAAACCAUCACCAUGAGGGUUAGAAUUUCAGCCCAUGAAUUUUAGAGGGUACAAACAUUCAGACUAUAGCACUAUGCCUUCAUUUUGGGAGCCCAAAUCUUUCUAGUGGGAUUCUUGAAUUUUAAAAUGAGCAAAGUUAUUGAUAUUAUGUUUCUGUAACUAGAUUCUCUUACCAUCUCACUUUCCAAUUCUGAUAUAAUGACCAGUAUAGAAAAAACACUCAUAAAAUUUGCUUCUGUAUCUUGGACAUAUAAGAAAUGUAGGGUCAAAAAGUCUUAAGAGUCAAUAUUUAAGAGCUAUUAUACAUUUCCCUUAAAUAAGAAGUAAUGGCUUCUGAGUAAAUGUUUUUACAGAACAUCUAUUUUUUUCUUAUGGUUUACUGAUACAAUAAGUUUGGUCUAAAAGGGAGCAAUAGGUUGAUCAUAGGUUAAUUAUAUAAUUUACAUUACCCAAAAGCAAAAAUUCCAGAAGAUAUUACAUACCAAUUUAUAUAUGGGAAGCCAAAAAUAUUGUUCAGAUUUAUGCCUUCUUGAUUGUUAGUGUAAGUCACCGAUAAAUAUCUGUGUCAUCUGAAAUUGAUUUUCAAAACAAUCUUGCUAUUAUUUAUUAAAGUCAUGGGUCAACCCAAGUCAAAACAUUAGUAGAAAAAGCGUUCUUAUUUAUGUUAAUGACUACAAAAAUCAUUGAAUAUCUUUUAAAGUUUUCAAAAUGUCUCCUAAAAUAGACCUAUUUAAGCAAUUCAUUUUUAAUUGAGAAUUUUACACAAUUAUAGAGGUACACUUAUGACAAAUUUAGCUCUGCUAAAUAUGAUAAUAAUUUAUUUAAUUUUCUAUUAAAGGGGAAAAUAAUCCAUAUCUCACAGGGUUUUAUAAGGAUAAAUUGAGUAGUAUAUGGGGACACACUUAAAUGUUGCUGAUAUGGUUUGGCUGUGUCCCAACCCAAAUCUCACACUGAAUUGUGAUAAUCCCCAUGUGUCAAAGGUGGAGAUAAUAGAAUCAUGGGGGCAGUUUCCCCCAUACUCUUCUUGUGGUAGAGAAUAAGUCUCACUAGAGUUGAUUGUUUUAUAAAGGGCAGUUCCCCUGCACAUGCGCUCUUGCCUGCCACCAUGUGAGACAUGCCUUUGCUCCUCCUUUGCUUUCUGCCAUGAUUGUGAGGCCUCCCCAGCCAUGUUGAACUGUGAGUCCAUUAAAUCUCUUUACUUUAUAAAUUACUCAGUCCUAG